UCUGGUUUGCCUCUGCAGACAAUAACGAUAGGCUAAGACGUCGUCCAAAGGACGCACCAACGAUUUUGCUCGAUCCCUCCCGUUUUCCCUUUGUUACAGUUCAUUCCUUGUCAAGAAGAAAAUGGAGUAACAGUCAGUAACUUAAAGUACCUGACAGGUACCACAUCAAGUUGGUAUUAAAAGGUAUAGAAGCAACAACCACAAGAAGAGAGGAAACACUACUAUUUCUCUAUGUGUCAUAAAAAGAAGGCUGACUAAUUAGAAAAAAUGGAAGGAUAAAUAAAAAUCGAAAACUUUA